GCCUGGGUGGCUCAGUUGGUUAAGUGUCUGACUUUGGCUCAGGUCAUGAUCUCGCGGUUCGUGAGUUUAAGCCUCACAUCGGGCU
rnacentral:tRNA from 1 species